rnacentral:rRNA from 1 species
AGUGAACGCUGGCGGUAGGCCUAACACAUGCAAGUCGAACGGCAGCACAGUAAGAGCUUGCUCUUACGGGUGGCGAGUGGCGGACGGGUGAGGAAUACAUCGGAAUCUACUUUUUCGUGGGGGAUAACGUAGGGAAACUUACGCUAAUACCGCAUACGACCUACGGGUGAAAGCAGGGGAUCUUCGGACCUUGCGCGAUUGAAUGAGCCGAUGUCGGAUUAGCUAGUUGGCGGGGUAAAGGCCCACCAAGGCGACGAUCCGUAGCUGGUCUGAGAGGAUGAUCAGCCACACUGUAACUGCGACACGGUCCAGACUCCUACGGGAGGCAGCAGUGGGGAAUAUUGGACCAUGGGCGCAAGCCUGAUCCAGCCCUACCGCGUGGGUGAAGAAGGCCUUCGGGUUGUAAAGCCCUUUUGUUGGGAAAGAAAAGCAGCAGGUUAAUACCCCGCUGUUCUGACGGUACCCAAAGAAUAAGCACCGGCUAACUUCGUG